rnacentral:rRNA from 1 species
GACGAACGCUGGCGGCACGCUUAACACAUGCAAGUCGAACGGUGAAAAGAAGCUUGCUUCUUGGAUCAGUGGCGGACGGGUGAGUAACACGUGAGCAACCUGCCUUUAAGAGGGGGAUAACGUCCGGAAACGGACGCUAAUACCGCAUAACAUAUGGGAUUCGCAUGUUUUCCAUAUCAAAGAUUUAUCGCUUAAAGAUGGGCUCGCGUCUGAUUAGCUAGUUGGUGAGGUAACGGCUCACCAAGGCGACGAUCAGUAGCCGGACUGAGAGGUUGAACGGCCACAUUGGGACUGAGACACGGCCCAGACUCCUACGGGAGGCAGCAGUGGGGAAUAUUGCACAAUGGGCGGCGAAGACCUGAUGCAGCGAUG